rnacentral:lncRNA from 1 species
GUUCGUUUUGUAGGCCCAGGAUAAAAGGGUUUGGAGUCUAGAAGGAGAAGUGACAGAGAAGUGACAGAGGAUUCUUCAUGCUCACACUGGGGUUAAUGUCAGUGUGGUCAUACCAACCGAAGCACGGUGCAGAGCUCUCUGCAGCGGAGCAUCUCACCAGGAAAUGGAUAGAAGACCGAGUGAGAGUUCUUCAGCAAUUCCAUCAUACCAUGAGCACACAAGAGCAGAACAAACCUGUAUAUGCAAACCAGACAUAGCGGCGCACACCUUUGAUCCCAGCACUUAGGAGGCAGAGGCAGGAGGAUCUCUAUGUGUUAAGGGCCAAUCGAGGUGACAUAAUGAGACUGUCUCAGAAAAAUUACACAUAUGUAUUGAUCAUAAUCAAUUCAUUGACACAAAUAAAUGGUAA